UACGGGGGGGGCAAGCGUUGUUCGGAAUUACUGGGCGUAAAGGGUUCGUAGGCGGCCGACUAAGUCAGACGUGAAAUCCCUCGGCUUAACCGGGGAACUGCGUCUGAUACUGGAUGGCUUGAGAUUGGGAGAGGGAUGCGGAAUUCCAGGUGUAGCGGUGAAAUGCGUAGAUAUCUGGAGGAACACCGGUGGCGAAGGCGGCAUCCUGGACCAACACUGACGCUGAGGAGCGAAAGCCAGGGGAGCAAACGGG
rnacentral:rRNA from 1 species